UACAGAGGGGGCAAGCGUUGUUCGGAAUUACUGGGGCGGUAAAGGGCGCGUAGGCGGCCUGCUAAGUCGAAACGUGAAAUCCCUGGGCUCAACCCAGGAACUGCGUCCGAUACUGGUUGGCUUGAAUCCGGGAGAGGGAUGUGGAAUUCCAGGUGUAGCGGUGAAAUGACGUAGAUAUCUGGAGGAACACCGGUGGCGAAGG
rnacentral:rRNA from 1 species